UACGGAGGAUCCGAGCGUUAUCCGGAUUUAUUGGGUUUAAAGGGUGCGUAGGCGGACUAGUAAGUCAGUGGUGAAAUCCUGCAGCUUAACUGUAGAAUUGCCGUUGAUACUGUUAGUCUUGAGUACAUUUGAGGUAGGCGGAAUGUGGUGUGUAGCGGUGAAAUGCAUAGAUAUCACGCAGAACUCCGAUUGCGAAGGCAGCUUACUAAGCUACAACUGACACUGAAGCACGAAAGCGUGGGGAUCAAACAGG
rnacentral:rRNA from 1 species